AUUUUAAAUGCAGUGAUUUGGCCGAAUCAUUAGCAUGGUUGGCAAAAUGUUUGGCAGCAUUUCUUCCAUCUUUAUGUGCCGUGUUCAAAUUCCACAAAGGUUGUCUUUGUCUUUCAUCUUUUCAGGGCCGAUAAAAUAAGUACCAGUUGAGUAUAGGGUUGA